GAAAUAGAAUUAAGAGCACAUAGGGAAUGCCUAGGCAAUAGUAGCCGAAGAAGGACGUGGUAAGCUGCGAAAAGUCCGAGGGAGUUGCAAGCGAACUUUGAUCUCGGAAUAUCCGAAUGGGGCAACCCGCAUAUUUGAAGAAUAUGCAAAAGUGGGAACCGGCCGAACUGAAUCAUCUUAGUAAGCCGAGGAAGAGAAAGUAAUUAAACGAUUUCCAUAGUAGCGGCGAGCGAACUGGAAAGAGCCCAAACCAUAUAGAUGUAAUAUCUUGUAGGAGUUAUCUAGAUGGGGUAGAGGGAUCUCGAGUGAGCAGACUACAAUCUGCUCGUCUUAGUGUAAAAUGAAGUAGAACAUAACUGGAAAGUUAGACCAGAGUAGGUGAUAGUCCUGUAUACGUAAGUAGAAGCUGAGAUUUUGAGACACCCAAGUAGCACGAGACACGAGGAAUCUUGUGUGAAUCUGCGUGGACCAUCACGUAAGGCUGAAUACUGCUAUUGACCGAUAGUGAAGAGUACCGUGAGGGAAAGGUGAAAAGAACCCCGGGAGGGGAGUGAAAUAGAGACUGAAACUAUGUGCUUACAGACCGUCAGAGCGUAAUAAGUGAUGGCGUGCCUAUUGGAAAAGGAGCCUGCGAGUUUUUCUUAGUGGCGAGGUUAAAAUAUGGAGCCGUAGGGAAACCGAGUUUUAAAAGAGCGAAUUAGUCGCUAGGGAAAGACACGAAACCUGGUGAUCUAUGCCUGUCCAGGAUGAAGCUUCAUUAAACUGAAGUGGAGGUCCGAACCGACCGAUGUUGAAAUAUCGGCGGAUGAGAUGGGUAUAGGGGUGAAAAGCCAAUCGAACCAGGAGAUAGCUUGUUCUCUUCGAAAUGCAUGUAGGUGCAGCCUACAGUUUAGAUCAAUGGGGGUAGAGCACUGAAUGCUCUAGGGGUCCGAAAGGAUUACCAAAAGCAAUCAAACUCCGAAUACCAUUUGAUUUUACUGUGGAGUGAGGCAUUGGGUGACAAGAUCCUAUGCCGAGAGGGAAAGAGCCCAGACCAACAGCUAAGGUCCCCAAAUAACUUCUGAGUGUGAAAGGAUGUUAGGUAUCUAAGACAGCCAGGAGGUUGGCUUUAAAGCAGCCAUCCUUUAAAGAGUGCGUAAUAGCACACUGGUCGAGAGACCUUGCGCCGAAGAUUCAACGGGGCUAAGAAGUUUACCGAAGCUAUGGAACGAGAGUUGGUAGGAGAGCGUACUGUAAGUCGUUGAAGGUGUUUUGUAAAGAACGCUGGAGAUAUCAGUAGUGAGGAUGCAGGCAUCAGUAGCGUAAAAGGUAGGUGAGAAUCCUACCCACCGAAAGUCUAAGGUUUCCAGGGGAAGGUUCGUCCGCCCUGGGUUAGUCGGGGCCUAACACGAAGCUAAAUAGCGUAGUGGAAGGACAACAGGUUAAUAUUCCUGUACUAGUUGUAACUGUUUGAAAGAUGGAGUGACACAGAAAGGUAUCUACGCUGACUGUUGGAUUAGUCAGUUUAAGCUUGAAGUCUGUCUAUAUAGGCAAAUCCGUAUAGAUAAAGAUGAGGAGUGAUGAGGUAAGGUAGAGAUCCUACGCUGUCGAGAAAAGCUUCUAUUUAGGUUAUGACUACCCGUACCACAAACCGACACAGGUAGACAGGAUGAGAAUUCUAAGGUGAGCAAGAUAAUUUUCGUUAAGGAACUCUGCAAAAUUACUCUGUAACUUCGGGAGAAAGAGUGCCUGUUUUAGUUGGCGUGCACAAGCGGCACAAAGGCGAGACAGGUCGCAGUGAAAAGAUCCGGGCAACUGUUUAUCAAAAACACAAGUCUCUGCUAAGCUGAAAGGCGACGUAUAGGGGCUGAGACCUGCCCAGUGCUGGAAGGUUAAGGGGAUUGCUGCAAGGCGAGAACUGAAGCCCCAGUGAACGGCGGCCGUAACUCUAACGGUCCUAAGGUAGCGAAAUUCCUUGUCGGGUAAAUUCCGACCCGCAUGAAAGGUUUAAUGAUCCGGGUGCUGUCUUGACGAAAAACUUGGCGAAGUUGUAUUGUGGGUAAAGAUACCCACUUUCCGCAGCAGGACGAUAAGACCCCGUGGAGCUUUACUGUAGCUUGAUAUUGUAUUUUGGUGACAUAUGUAUAGGAUAGUUGGGAGACUAUGAUUCUAGGGCGCUAGCUUUGGAGGAGUCAACCUUGGAAUACCAACCAUGUGUUAGCGGGAUACUAACUUGUGGAUACAAGGACAGUGUUAGGUAGGCAGUUUGACUGGGGCGGUCGCCUCCUAAAAAGUAACGGAGGCGUGCAAAGGUUCCCUCAAAACGGUUGGAAAUCGUUUGUUGAGUGCAAAGGCAAAAGGGAGCUUGACUGUAAGAGAGACAUCUCGAGCAGGGUCGAAAGACGGUCUUAGUGACCCGGUGGCACAGUAUGGAAUGGCUAUCGAUCAACGGAUAAAAGUUACCCCGGGGAUAACAGGCUUAUACUUCCUGAGAGUUCAUAUCGACGGGAGUGUUUGGCACCUCGAUGUCGGCUCAUCACAUCCUGGAGCAGAAGAAUGUUCCAAGGGUUGGGCUGUUCGCCCAUUAAAGUGGUACGCGAGCUGGGUUCAGAACGUCGUGAGACAGUUCGGUUUCUAUCCGCUGUGGACGCAAAGCAUUGAGAAGAUCUAUUCUUAGUACGAGAGGACCGGAAUGGACAAACCAAUGAUGUACCAGUUGUUACGCCAGUAGCAUCGCUGGGUAGUCACGUUUGGAAAGGAUAAACACUGAAAGCAUCUAAGUGUGAAGCCUACUUCAAGAUGAGUGCUUAUGAAGACCUUAUAGACUAUGAGGUUGAUAGGUAGCAGGUGUAAGUUUUGUAAGAAAUUAAGCUGAGCUAUACUAAUAUCUUCUAACUAUUUGUUGA
rnacentral:rRNA from 1 species